AUUGAACGCUGGCGGCAUGCCUUACACAUGCAAGUCGAACGGUAACAGGCCGCAAGGUGCUGACGAGUGGCGAACGGGUGAGUAAUACAUCGGAACGUGCCCGAUCGUGGGGGAUAACGCAGCGAAAGCUGUGCUAAUACCGCAUACGAGCUACGGAUGAAAGCGGGGGAUCGCAAGACCUCGCGCGGACGGAGCGGCCGAUGGCAGAUGAGGUAGUUGGUGGGGUAAAGGCCUACAAAGCCGACGAUCUGUAUCUGGUCUGAGAGGACGACCAGCAAAACUGGGACUGAGACACGGAGCAGACUCCUACGCGAGGCAGCAGUGGGGAUGGUUGGACAAUGGGCGCAAGGCUGAUCGAGACAUGCAGCGUGGAGGAUGAUGGGCUUCAGGUUGUAAACUGCUUUUGUACGGAACGAAAAGGUUUCUCAUAAUACAGGGAACUGAUGACGAUACCGUAAGAAUAUGCAGCAGCUAACUACGUGCCAGCCGCCGCGGUAAAAC
rnacentral:rRNA from 1 species